rnacentral:rRNA from 1 species
UACGUAGGGUGCGAGCGUUGUCCGGAAUUACUGGGCGUAAAGAGCUCGUAGGCGGUUUGUCGCGUCUGCUGUGAAAACCCGAGGCUCAACCUCGGGCCUGCAGUGGGUACGGGCAGACUAGAGUGCGGUAGGGGAGAUUGGAAUUCCUGGUGUAGCGGUGGAAUGCGCAGAUAUCAGGAGGAACACCGAUGGCGAAGGCAGAUCUCUGGGCCGUAACUGACGCUGAGGAGCGAAAGCGUGGGGAGCGAACAGG